rnacentral:rRNA from 1 species
AAUAUUGCACAAUGGGGGAAACCCUGAUGCAGCGACGCCGCGUGAGUGCAGACGUAUUCCGGUAUGUAAAGCUCUAUCAGCAGGGAAGAAAAUGACGGUACCUGACUAAGAAGCCCCGGCUCACUACGUGCCAGCAGCCGCGGUAAUACGUAGGGGGCAAGCGUUAUCCGGAUUUACUGGGUGUAAAGGGAGCGUAGGUGGUUCGGCAAGUCAGAUGUGAAAGCCCGGGGCUCAACACCGGGACUGCAUUUGAAACUGUCGUACUAGAGUGCAGGAGAGGUAAGUGGAAUUCCUAGUGUAGCGGUGAAAUGCGUAGAUAUUAGGAGGAACACCAGUGGCGAAGGCGACUCUCUGGACUGCAACUGACGCUGAGGCACGAAAGCGUGGGGAGCAAACAGG